AGUGAACGCUGGCGGUAGGCCUAACACAUGCAAGUCGAACGGCAGCACAGUAAGAGCUUGCUCUUACGGGUGGCGAGUGGCGGACGGGUGAGGAAUACAUCGGAAUCUACUUUUUCGUGGGGGAUAACGUAGGGAAACUUACGCUAAUACCGCAUACGACCUACGGGUGAAAGCAGGGGAUCUUCGGACCUUGCGCGAUUGAAUGAGCCGAUGUCGGAUUAGCUAGUUGGCGGGGUAAAGGCCCACCAAGGCGACGAUCCGUAGCUGGUCUGAGAGGCUGAUCGGCCACACUGGAACUGAGACACGGUCCAGACUCCUACGGGAGGCAGCAGUGGGGAAUAUUGGACAAUGGGCGCAAGCCUGAUCCAGCCAUACCGCGUGGGUGAAGAAGGCCUUCGGGUUGUAAAGCCCUUUUGUUGGGAAAGAAAAGCAGCAGGUUAAUACCCCGCUGUUCUGACGGUACCCAAAGAAUAAGCACCGGCUAACUUCGUG
rnacentral:rRNA from 1 species